UAUUAAUAAAACAAAAAUUCUUUUCUUUAUGAUCUGGAAUAUUUGCACGUUUCAAGACAAAUAAGUAAAACCAUGACAAUCGAAGUUCCCAAAAAUUCAAUGCAAUUGGAAUUAAAGAAGCUUAAAUCAUUUUUUGACUAUGCAAUAUACAAACAAUGAUAGCCUGCUGGUGACACUAUACGCGUUUACAACUACUCUUCUUAACUUCUAAGGUAGGCGGUUGAAAAGUCUGGCUACUCUAAAUUGGAAUGAAUUAUUCAUAUAACCUAGCCCUGUGUGACCGGAUAAAACUGAACAAUUCAACAAAAAAGAAGGAGAUUGUUGAAUCAAAACAUUUCGAAAUAAUAUUAAUGAGCGAAUGUCAAUAAAACGCCAAAAUGAGCACAUGCGAAGAAAUAUGAUCGAAUCGCUUAACGGAUUACAGCUCUUUGUAAAUCGUUCGUUACCGUUAUUUCGAAAACCAAACACACCGUUACACCGUUCUACAACCGUUCAGCCCGACUGUUG